rnacentral:rRNA from 1 species
GAUGAACGCUAGCUACAGGCUUAACACAUGCAAGUCGAGGGGUAACAAGAGAAAAGCUUGCUUUUCUUGUUGACGACCGGCGCACGGGUGAGUAACGCGUAUCCAACCUGCCUAUAACUAGGGAAUAACCUUGCGAAAGUAAGACUAAUACCCUAUGAUUUCCUUUGAUGACAUCAGAUUAGGAAUAAAGAUUUAUCGGUUAUAGAUGGGGAUGCGUCUGAUUAGCUUGUUGGCGGGGUAACGGCCCACCAAGGCAACGAUCAGUAGGGGUUCUGAGAGGAAGGUCCCCCACAUUGGAACUGAGACACGGUCCAAACUCCUACGGGAGGCAGCAGUGAGGAAUAUUGGUCAAUGGGCGGAAGCCUGAACCACCCAAGUAGCGUGCAGGAUGACGGCCCUAUGGGUUGUAAACUGCUUUUAUACAGGAAUAAAGUUAGCCACGUGUGGUUAUUUGUAGGUACUGUAUGAAUAAGGACCGGCUAAUUCCGUGCCAGCCGCCGCUGUAA